rnacentral:rRNA from 1 species
UACGAAGGGUGCAAGCGUUAAUCGGAAUUACUGGGCGUAAAGCGUGCGUAGGCGGUUAUUUAAGUCUGUUGUGAAAUCCCCGGGCUCAACCUGGGAAUGGCAAUGGAUACUGGAUAGCUAGAGUGUGAUAGAGGAUGGUGGAAUUCCCGGUGUAGCGGUGAAAUGCGUAGAGAUCGGGAGGAACAUCAGUGGCGAAGGCGGCACUCUGGGACGGUACUGACGCUGAGACGCGAAAGCGUGGGGAGCGAACAGG